rnacentral:rRNA from 1 species
CCUACGGGAGGCAGCAGUGAGGAAUAUUGGUCAAUGGACGAGAGUCUGAACCAGACAAGUAGCGUGAAGGAUGACUGCCCUAUGGGUUGUAAACUUCUUUUAUAAAGGAAUAAAACGAGGCACGUGUGCCUUUUUGCAUGUACUUUAUGAAUAAGGAUCGGCUAACUCCGUGCCAGCAGCCGCGGUAAUACGGAGGAUCCGAGCGUUAUCCGGAUUUAUUGGGUUUAAAGGGAGCGUAGAUGGGUUGUUAAGUCAGUUGUGAAAGUUUGCGGCUCAACCGUAAAAUUGCAAUUGUUACUGGCAGGCUGGAGUACAGUUGAGGUAGGCGGAAUUCGUGGUGUAGCGGUGAAAUGCUUAGAUAUCACGAAGAACCCCGAUUGCGAAGGCAGCUUACUAAACUGUGACUGACAUUGAUGCUCGAAAGUGUGGGUAUCAAACAGGAUUAGAUACCCCAGUAGUC